ACGCUAAGCGGGAGGCCUAACACAUGCAAGCCGAGCGGUAUUUGUUCUUCGGGACAGAGAGAGCGGCGUACGGGUGCGGAACACGUGUGCAACCUGCCUUUAUCUGGGGGAUAGCCUUUCGAAAGGAAGAUUAAUACCCCAUAAUAUAUUGAAUGGCAUCAUUCGAUAUUGAAAACUCCGGUGGAUAGAGAUGGGCACGCGCAAGAUUAGAUAGUUGGUGAGGUAACGGCUCACCAAGUCAAUGAUCUUUAGGGGGCCUGAGAGGGUGAUCCCCCACACUGGUACUGAGACACGGACCAGACUCCUACGGGAGGCAGCAGUGAGGAAUAUUGGACAAUGGGUGCAAGCCUGAUCCAGCCAUCCCGCGUGAAGGACUAAGGCCCUAUGGGUUGUAAACUUCUUUUAUACUGGGAUAAACCUACUUACGUGUAAGUAGCUGAAGGUACAGUAUGAAUAAGCACCGGCUAACUCCGUGCCAGCAGCCGCGGUAAUACGGAGGGUGCAAGCGUUAUCCGGAUUUAUUGGGUUUAAAGGGUCCGUAGGCGGAUUCGUAAGUCAGUGGUGAAAUCUCAUAGCUUAACUAUGAAACUGCCAUUGAUACUGCGAGUCUUGAGUGAGAUUGAGGUAGCUGGAAUAAGUAGUGUAGCGGUGAAAUGCAU
rnacentral:rRNA from 1 species